UUGAAAUGAGUCUCACCAAGUUUCACACCGUCUUGUUGCAGAGAUUACAGUGCCCUGACAUUUUACCCGCUUGGCUAGGCCGGGCCCAUUGUGCCGAUGUUCCUGCUUCUAGUCGCUUUCAGGCACAGCCCACAGCAGCACAUUGCUCUGUGCCUUGCAUCAUGGGCCUCUCACCGUCUGCCCCGGGGCUUCCCUGUUGUGGAAGAUCAAGGCGCCGUGGGACCCACUACCUAAGCAGAUGAUGAGCCAGGCACCUGGACCCGCAGCAGAACAAGACCAUCAUGCCACCUGACUGCUCAAGUCCUUCCAGAGAGCAGGGCUGAAAAUCACUUGAGCCAGGCUCGUAUUGCUCCUGCAUCCCACAGGCUGAGUUCCAAGGGAAGUGGUCCUCUCCUGUCCUGAGUGGUCAUCUCUUGUCCUGAGUGGUCAUCUCCUGUCCUGAGUGGUCAUCUCCUGUCCUGCUCACCUGCUCUGUGACUAACUAAGAUGAAGGAGACUUCAUUGGUCAGUUCCCUGCUGAGUCUCAAAGCCAAGACAAGCAAUUACGGUGCAUAUUUAACAUAUCAAAGUGGACCUGGCUGCCAUGUUGUCCCAGCAUCCCUCAGUCCCUAUCUGUUAACAGGGUGUAGCUGGCAUACACUGCCCUCUACCCUGAACUCUUCAGCCCAGGCUCUGGGCUGCCCUUCCCCCGAGAGGCUCUUCCCUACAUAAUCCAGCUAUUUUGGUACCUGCCCCUUUUGUAUCUGUGGCCUCUUA
rnacentral:lncRNA from 1 species